rnacentral:rRNA from 1 species
UACGUAGGGUGCGAGCGUUAAUCGGAAUUACUGGGCGUAAAGCGUGCGCAGGCGGUUUUGUAAGCCAGAUGUGAAAGCCCCGGGCUUAACCUGGGAAUGGCAUUUGGGACUGCAAGGCUUGAGUGCGGCAGAGGAGACUGGAAUUCCUGGUGUAGCAGUGAAAUGCGUAGAUAUCAGGAGGAACACCGAUGGCGAAGGCAGGUCUCUGGGCCGAUACUGACGCUGAGGAGCGAAAGCGUGGGGAGCGAACAGG